UCCCAGUUUGCACCAGCCCUGAUGAUCCCUAGGCCACUAAGGAAGGGCCACACAGUACACCAACCAGUCCAUGUCUGCCGGAUAUGCUUCUAGAGUGCCACUAAAACCUCUUCUGAAGAAAAGACUCUGCAGAGCAAAGAGGAAAAGAGGCACAGGAAUUCCCAGGCAAGAAAUACAGAUAGUAAAAGCUGUUGCACGGAGCUCCUGGAAGGCUGGUGAGCAGCAAAUGGACAAGAGAAGCUAUUCACAUCUUCCAAACUCUGAGACAAGAGAUCCUGGGACAAAUCACUGUGAGGACUGCAGCCAGUUAUGGCAGGAGGUCCCGUAUCACUGAAUCUGGAGCUGGAGGGGUCCAGGGAUUGACAUGGAUUCCAAUGAGCAUCCUAACCUGAACACUUCAAGCUCCAUUAGACUCACUAGUCAGAAGACCUGCUGGCAGAAUGACUUGUGUUGUGGCCUGAAUCAGCUUCUCCAGCCUUGGACUCCACUCAAGACUUAAUAACCUUAUGCCUUACUCAGCAACAUGGUCA